rnacentral:rRNA from 1 species
UCAUCGUAGGGUUAGUCGGGACCUAAGUCGAGUCCGAGAGGGGUAGACGAUGGCAAAUCGGUUAAUAUUCCGAUACCAACUAUUGAGCGCGAUGGGGGGACGCAUAGAGUUAAUCGAGCUAGCUGAUGGAAUAGCUAGUCGAAGGAUGUAGGCUGACACUUAGGUAAAUCCGGGUGUCAUGAGGCCGAGAUCUUAUAGGCCCGUAAAGCUCUUCGGAGGUGCAUGGGAAUCGAUGAUACUGUCGUGCCAAGAAAAGCCUCUAAGUAUAUCAGUAGUUGCCCGUACCGUAAACCGACACAGGUGGGUGGGGUGAGUAUUCUAAGGCGCGUGGAAGAACCCUGGUUAAGGAACUCUGCAAACUAGCACCGUAACUUCGGAAUAAGGUGUGCCUAAUCCGGUAUAGAGAUUUACUCUCAAAAGCUGGAAAGGUUGCAACAAAGAGUCCCUCCCGA